CUCAGUGCCACUUGGGAUUCGGGCCAGUAAACAGCUUCCUGUCUCCUGCUCCUGUUUGCCUGGGCCUGCAGAUUGACACAGCCUGAGGUGAUGGAUAUUGAGGCGAUCCUGUCGUCCCUCAGGGCUGCUGCUGCGCUGGAUGGUGGCCGGCAACUGAGGGAGCAAUUUCAGAUGAUUAGUGGAGGUAUGGCUGCCGGUGUGGGCACCCCCCGUGGCCUUCCCUCCCCUGGGGCACCCCCUGUGGUCUCCCCUGCUGCUCCUCCUGCGGUCCCUGCCCCUGGGGGCCGCACCAGCACUGGCAGGCGCUCCCGACCGCCUGCCAGGCUCUCCCCUGAUCCUGCUCCUCGGGCCCGGUUGAGGACUGGGAGCCCGGGCCCGAGGCAUCGACGGAACCGCGUGUCUGGGGCUCCAGACACGCGGCCUGCCACCAGGAGUGGCAAUUUGCGGCCUUCUGCGGCCGCGCGGGUGGCACGGCCUUCAGCCACGAGGCCUGCCACUGCCGCGCGGCCAGCCGCCUCCCCCGCCGCUCGGCCUUCCACUGGGAGGCCGGGGAUGCGGCCUACUUCCGCCGCGCGGCCUCCUGUUGCGGCUGCCGCGCGGCCUAUCCGAAGAUCACCUUCCACACCAUCCGCCCCGGCCGCCUGUGCUGGAUUGCGGUCCGGUGGCGGUGGGCGGCGGAUUUUGCCAUCCGGGCGGCGGGCGGCCGCCCGGCAACGAUCCAGGUCCCCCCGCGGCCGGCGGGGUGGUAGGGCGGUGAGUAGGCCCUCGCGGGCCGCGCGGGGUACCUUUGUACCGCCGUUGGGGGGUCGGGGGGGGUCUCCUUGCCCGUCGGGAGCCUCCUCUGCCAGUGAGGAUGGCUCCCAGGGCUCUGUCUCCCCUCCCUCCCCUGCCCGUUCUUCUAUGCCUGGUCCCCCAUCCUCCUGUCCUGUCUCUGCCCCCCCCCUUUCUUCCUCUGGUGGGCCUCCUCCCCCUCUCCCCUCUUUUCUUCCCCCUCCCGUUUUUUCUUCCCCCCCCUCUGGUCCCCAUCCCUUCCUUUCUGCCUCCCCUCUCUCCUAUUCUGCUCCCUCUGCCCUGCCUGGCCCCCCUCCCCCCCCUGCAGGUCACUUACCUCGGCCAUCUCCUCUGGGGCAUGGGCUCACGUCCUCUCUGCCGCUCUCUUCUCAGGAUACUGCUGCAGUACAUGGAUCCGUCCAGCAGGUGGCGUCUGGUCCUCAGCUGAUGUCUUCGGUGGACGCUGGAACUGCAGUUUCAUUGCCUCAGCCUUCUGUGAGCGCAGUGCCGGGCUUGGAUCGCCAGUCUGCGACCGGUGAGUACCUUAUUCCUUCCGUUUCUGGCGCUGCGGGUCCCGGGCUGGGGGGGUUCCUCUUAGGUCUUAGGGUUUUUUUGGAUCAGUGGGAAAAAGGGGUGGCAGUUAGCGGUAAUACUCUUGAUAGUCAGCUCCGGUCAGCGUGGUCCCCAGCCCUGCUCGCUCCUCCGGUUCAGUUUUCCCCUCCUCCUGGGCCCCUACCAGGGUCUGUGGGCGGUGCGGCGCCUCUGAGUUCCCCGGCGCCCGCGGUGGCCAAUGUUGGUUCCGCCUCGGGCGAUGCUGGUCUCGACGGGGGGGUCUCGGACGUAGCACGGGGUGCUGCUUACAUGUGCUGGUCUGGCCCCCUAGGCUUGCACUUGAAGCAGGAGACUAAAGAAAAAAUUUGGAAGGGGGAAUUUGUGGAAAUAUAUUCUCUUCUGCCGCUGGAGGAAGCUCCUCCCGUGGCGGACAAGGACAGCAAGGAGUCGGAGAAGGAUAGGGAGAAAUACCGUUUCCGCAAAAUUCCCAAGAACUUUGGGAAUUGGAUUCGGGCGUUCUCUAUUUUGGCCAGCGUGGUGGGGGAAAAGUCUCCCCAAAAGUGUUCCGCUCUGUUCUGUUAUCAGGACACGAUCUGGAACGCUUGUCGCACCUAUGGGGGGUUAGGUUGGUGGAGGUACGACGAGCAGUUUCGACAGCGACUGGCAGUGCGUCCCUCGCUGUCGUGGGAUCAGAUGGAUAUCGGCCUAUGGCUUUCCAUCAUGACUCGUCCUGCCCCUCAACAGGGUGCGUUUUCGUCUUUUCUUGGGGGGGCCGGUGGGGGCACCUCCUCCUCCUCAUCGGCCUCCAGUCAGAGGUCCGGCUGUUGUUGGAAGUUUAAUGACAGUCUCUGUAAGUGGGGGUCCUCGUGCCGGUUUAAGCACGAGUGCUCCGGCUGCGGUGGGGCCCAUCCCGCCUCACGCUGUUUCAAGCGGGGCAAAACGGGGGAGAAGGGGGACAUGGGGGCUAAGGGCGACGACUCCGGUCCUCGUAAACGCGAUGCGCCCGUGGCUCGACCUUUAUAAGAAUCGGGCUGCGGCGCGGAUCCUGGUGGAUGGGUUUGAGCAGGGGUUUUGGAUCCCUUUCGCGGAGCGCCCUCCGCUGCUCUCCGUCCGGAACCUCAAGUCCGUGCGGGCUUUUCCUCAGGUGGUGCGGGACAAGUUGGAAAAGGAGGUCUCCUUGGGUCGGAUGGCCGGCCCGUUCUCCACCCCGCCGAUGGCGAAUCUGCGGGUUUCUCCCUUGGGUGUGGUACCCAAGAAGGAUCCCGGGAAGUUUCGUUUAAUUCACCAUUUGUCGUACCCUCGGGGCGGAUCGGUGAAUGAUGACAUUUCCGCUGAACUUUGCAGGGUUUCCUACGCAUCCUUUGAUGCGGCGGUUCGAAUGGUGAGAGCGGCGGGCCCGGGGGCACUGCUGGCUAAGGCGGAUGUGGAAUCCGCUUUCCGGCUGCUCCCGGUGCAUCCGGAGUGCCAUCAUCUUUUGGGGUGUGCCUUUGAGGGCCAAUUUUUUGUGGACAUGUGCCUCCCCAUGGGUUGCUCGCUAUCCUGUUUUUAUUUUGAGUGCUUUAGCACUUUUCUGGAAUGGGUGGUGCGGAGGGAAGCGGGGGUCGCUUCCCUCCUGCACUACCUGGAUGAUUUCCUGUGUGUAGGUCCGGCGGAGUCGCACGUCUGUGCUCUCCUGCUGCGGGUUCUCGGAGAGGUGUUUCAUCACUUCGGGGUUCCGUUGGCUCGUGACAAGACGGUUGGUCCGGUCACGUGCUUGAGCUUUCUGGGCAUCGAAAUCGAUUCGAUGGCUGGGGAAUGUCGGCUGCCGCAUGAUAAGGUCUUGGAUCUGCGCCUAGCGGUGUCCCGAGCCCUGGGGCGGCGUAAGAUCCAGCUACGCUGCCUGCAGUCUUUGCUGGGGAAGUUCAAUUUUGCCUGUCGGAUAUUGCCAAUGGGGCGUAUUUUUAAUAGGCGCUUGGCGGCGGCGACGUCGGGGGUCGCUCAUCCGCAGCAUUUUAUCCGGCUUACCCGGCCCUUACGGGCUGAUUUGGCCGUCUGGGACUCCUUUUUGGCCUCUUAUAAUGGCAGGUCUUACUGGCAGGCCCCGGAGGUCUCUAAUGCGGACCUCCAUUUGUUUACUGAUGCGGCGGGUUCGGCCGGCUUUGGAGCCAUCCUGGGCGCCAAAUGGUGCGCUGACUCAUGGCCGGAGACCUGGCACGCGGCAGGGCUCACUCGAAAUCUGGCAUUUCUGGAGCUCUUCCCAAUUUUGGUAGCUUUGGAGGUAUGGGGUUCCCUGCUGGUGGAUAGUCGGGUGGUCUUCCAUUGUGACAAUUUGGGUGUAGUGCAGGCUAUUAACCAGCUGUCUGCUUCUUCCCCCCCCGUGGUUCGCUUGCUCCGACGCCUAGUGCUGCGUUGUCUCGAGCUGAAUGUGUAUUGUAGGGCUGUGCACAUCCCGGGUGUGCGUAAUGUGAUGGCCGAUGCUCUCUCUCGUUCACAGUGGGACGUGUUUCGGGCGGUGGCUCCACAAGCCGAGCUGGAGGGUGUCCCGUGUCCGACAGAGAUGUGGUCCUUGGGUCUGACAGACUGAUGGAGUUGGUCCGUGGGUCGGUCGCUGCGGCCACAUGGGACCGCUAUAAUAAGGUUUGGAGGGAAUGGGAAGGGUGGGAAGGGUCCUGUGGGGGCUUCCGGGACUCAUCCUCUCGUCUGCAGGGUUUGGUUCGGCUCUUAGGGGACUGGGAGGCCGCGGGGUUGUCUCCCUCGGCCAUAUCGGCACGCUUAGCGGGGCUCAGCUUCCUGUUUAAGCUACGGGGUUGGGAGGACGCUACCAAGGCGUUCAUUGUCCGUCAGGCUCUGAAGGGCUUGAGGCGGGGGAGGGUGUCGGUGCCGGACUCGAGGCGUCCUGUCUCGGGCACGCUCCUAACUGCUUUGUGUGAGGCGUUGCACCGGGUUUGCCAUUCGGAUUUCGAGGUUCGGCUGUUUCGCCUUGCCUUUUCCCUGGCAUUCUUCGGCGCCAUGCGGAUUGGGGAGCUGGUAUGCCCCAGCCGGCGGCAGGUAGGGGGGGUGUUGUUUGGUGACGUUUCGUGCGGCACUGAUCUGAUCUCGUUCCGGAUCCGCCGCUCUAAGACGGACGUCUUGGGGAGGGGUAAGUGGGUCCGUUUGGGGGCGGUUCCGGGUUCCGGCGUUUGUCCGGUUUGGUCCUUUGGGGAAUAUUGUUCUGUGCGCUCUUCUCCUGCGCUGCCUCUCCUGGUCCAUGGGGAUGGGAGUUUCCUGUCCCAUUUCCAGUUUGUUAGAGUGUUUCGUUUAGGGCUGGAAGCGAUGGGGUUGGAUAGCAGGGAGUUCGGGGGCCAUUCCUUCCGUGUUGGAGCGGCGACCGAGGCCUCUCGGCUAGGCAUGCCAGCGCAGGUGGUUCAGAGGAUUGGUAGGUGGGACUCGAGGCGUUAUAUUUCCUAUGUUCGUCCGGCCGGUUUAAUGUCAUGAUUUCUUUUCACAGUUUCGGUUCCCCCCAGGAUCUGGAUCGUCGGGCACUCUUAUGUUUACUGGGCUGGGCAGCGUGCGGCGGUUCGGCCUGGAGGUGCGAGGUUGGGUUUCACGCCUUCCGAAGCGGAAGUUCGAUGGCUCGGUGCAAGGGGUAUGAGGUGGUCACGGCUCCUCCCCGAGUUAGUGCGGCUGUCUCGUCUCUUAGGGGCGCCGAGUGUCCUGGUGAUUCACCUGGGGGGGAAUGAUCUGGGUUCAGUACCCAUCUGGGAUUUAAUCACGGAGGUGAAGCGGGACUUGGCCCGCAUUUUGCUUUUAUUCCCGGGCGUGCGCUUGAUCUGGUCGGAAGUUAUUGCCCGCAAUUAUUGGCGUGGCGCCAGGAAUCAGAGUGCCGUGGAGCGCUGCCGUCGGAAGUUAAACAGGAGGGUUUCCCAGUUGUUUUGGGGGCUCAAGGGCUCCCGGUCCGCCACAGGGUUUUUGAGCGGGAGGCGGCUCAUUUUUUCGUGGGGAUGGUGUACACCUAACGGAGGUCGGGCUCGACCUUUUUAAUCUCGCCUUGCAGGAGGCGGUGGAACAGGCCAUGGGUGGUUUUGGUG
rnacentral:lncRNA from 1 species